AAGAAAGAAUGAAUGAAUUACUGUCAGUUUAGGGGUGCCUGGGUGGCUCAGUCAGUGUCUGACUUUGGCUCAGGUCAUGAUCUUAUGGUUCGUGGGUUCGAGCCCCAUGUGGGUUCUGUGCUGUCCACCCAGAGCCUGGAACCUACUCUUGAUUCUGUAUCUCCCUUUCUUUCUGCCCCUCCCCUGCUCACGCUCUGGUCUCUCUCUCUCAAAAAGAAACAUUUAAAAAAUUUAAAAAAAAUUAUUGUCAGUUUAUAUUCCCAUCACACUAUAUUAUGAAUAUUCCCAUUUUGUAGUUCCUUCAACAUUACUGCAUAUUAAAAUAAAAAAAAACACUUGUUGUUUAUUUUCUGAUAAUGAAAGAAUUAUAACUUAUUGUUGAAAUGUCAAAUACAGAAAAAGAUACACACUGUCUCUAUCAUACACUCACAAACACACGCGUGUAGUUCUCCAUUCAGCAGCACCGACAUUUUGGUGCAUCCUUAGUGCAUUUUUCUUUUCUAAUCUUCCGUGUAGCCAUUGCAUUUUGGCUGCGGGUUGCUGGAACGGACGUGGAACGGCAGAGGCGCCGCGUUACUUGUGCGUAGCUUCCUCUCUCAUCAGCUUGUGCUUAUUCUUCAGCGGCACUGGUGUCAUCUUUGCUCUUUCUAGGUUGGUUGGUUUGUUUUUAAAUAUUUGAGAAAUGUGAUUGGAAAGGAACAAUGGAACAGCAGGAGGAGGGGAGGAUAGUUAAAUAAAGGCUGGAAAAAUUCCAUUCUUGAGAAGCUGACAGACAUGCCUGAGAAGUUUGAUAUACGUGAAGGAGCAGAAUGAAACUAGAGUAAGAAUACUUUGUCACUCAGGAAGAGUGCUCAUUCGAAAACAAGUCGAAGUGUUACCGCAGGCAAAAGAUUUCCUGUGAUCAUGAAGGUACUCGCCUAUGUUUUCCUGAAGUUUUGCUGUUUCACCUUUUGUAUUUUUUUAACCAUAAAAAAAAUUUUUUUUAAUGUUUAUACAUUUUAGAUAGAAAGCGAGAGCGAGAAAGAGAGAGGGAGAGCGAGCAGGGGAGGGGCAAAGAGAGAGGGAGACACAGAAUCUGAAGCAGGCUCCAGGCUCCACGCUGUCAGCACAGAGUCCAAUGCAGGGCUCGAAUUCACAAACCGCGAGAUCAUGACCUGAGCUGAAGUUGGAUGCCUAACUGACUGAGCCACCCAGGGACCCCUAACCAUUUUUUUUUAAGUAAGUUCUGUACCUAACAUGGGGCUUGAGCUCGUGACCCAGAGAUCAAGAGUCCUAUGCUCCUCUGACUGAGCCAGCCAGUACCUCACUUUUUGUAUUUAAGUCUGUUUUUUGUAUAUGGUGUGAAGAGGGGUCAGUUAGAAAACUAAGUUUUAGAAGAUACCAUUUACAAUUUCACCGAAAAGCAUUGAACACGUAGAAUAAAUCUAAAGAAAGAUGUAUAAGAAAAGGGGAAAGAUCUAUAAAAACUCACCAUGGAAACUACAAAGGGUUGCUGAAGGAAUUUGACUUAAGUAAAUGCACUUAAGUAAAUAUGUCAGUUUUCCCCAAAUUGAUCUAAAGAUUCAGCGCUGUUCCAAGGAAAGGCUCAGCAAGUGUGUUGUGUGUGUGUGUAAAUUGAGAAUUGAGAAAUUGAUUCCAGAAUUUAUGAGAAUGGAAAGAACCAAGAAUAGUGAAAACAAAGUGUUUUCAAAUCAUGGUUUGUGGACUCCUGAGUGUCCCUUAGACCCUUUCAGGGGUUUUGUGAAAUCAAAACUAUUUUAUAACAAUAGUAAGAUGUUAUUCACCUUUUCACUGUUUUAGUCUUGCAAAAGCAGUGGUGGGCAAACUUAGUGUGAAUCGCACCAGUGGCACUAAAUUGUGCUAGAGUCAUCGCUGUAUUCUUCACCUCUGUGAAUUUGCAAUAAAACAAACAAUAACCAAAAUGACAAGUUCCACUUAAGAAUGUUCUUGACAAGGGGCGCAUGGGUGGCUCAGUCAGUUAAGCUUCCAAAUCUUGAUUUCAGUCCAGGUCAUGAUCUCACAGUUCAUGGGAUUGAGCUCCGUGUUGGGCUCUGGGCUGACAGUGUGGAACCUACUUGGGGCUCUCUCUCUCCCUCUCUCUAUGUUCCUCCCCCACUUGCGUGCUCUCUCUCCCUCCCUCCCUCUCUCUCUCUCUCUCUCUGUCUCUCUCUCUCAAGAUAAGUAAAAUAAACAUUUAAACAACAACAAAAAGAAUGCUCUUGACAAAAUGGUACAAUUUAUUAUUUUAAUAAAUCUGAAUCCCUCAUGUCCUAAAACAAAACUGAAAAAUUAACACAUCAGAUUAACCAUUGUGCAGCGUAGAGGAUCUAGUUCACUGCCAUUCAGUAUAGUGACGAUGCUGUGUAACCAUCACUGUUUCAAUGGUUUAACUACCAUUAAAUGUCUCUUUAACAUUCUGCCUCAUGAAAUGGGAAAUACAUGUAAAUCACUUCUGUCAUGUUUGAAAGUGUGAUAGUUAUCUUGAGAAAAAAAAAAAUCUCAUGACAGUCUUUGAAAUGUAAGCCAAACUACCUGCUUUUUCCUAGAGCGCCGUUAUUACUUGCAGUAACCACUGAAAGACAAACUGUGGUUAUUUAGACACAAGUGGUUGAUGGAUGCCUUUUGAAAAUGAAAUAAACCUGAAAAUCUAGCUGUCUGUUAAGCAACACAUUGAAGAGAUAGGCAAAAAUGAAAAGAGUGCCACUGUUCUCGUGAAAAGUUUUUUGUUUUGGAAAAGACAGUAGUUGUUCAUAACAAGUAUUUGCUAAUGUUCAUUUUUAUUUUAAAUAAAUUAGUAAAUGUUAAAUUUUUCUCACUUUGAAUUUCUAACAUGGUAAAUAUUGAUUGAUGUAACUCACAGAGGCAAAUGUUCUUUGAGGUCCUCAAUGAUUUUUAGUAACGUAAAGUGAUCUUGAGAUCAGAAGAUUUGAGAACCAUUGACAAAGUCAGUCUUGAACAAAAGCUGUUAGAGAUUUAUAUCAAUCAAUAUUAAGACAUUUAUAUAGUUACAGUAAUUAAAGCAAGAUGGUAUUAAUAAGUGGAUUGAGAAAUAAGUGGAACAGAGUGGAAAAGUCAGAACAGACCCACAUAUAUAAUACAACUUGAUAUUUGAUGAAGGAACCACUGCAACGAGAAGUCUUUUCAGGAAAUGGUGCCAAGUCAUUUGGGUGAUUACAGGGGAAAAUAAACGAAGGCUUCUCUUUUUCUUUCUUUCUCUACUUUUUUUUUUUUUUAGAUUUUAUAUCUUUAAUUUUUUGAGAGAGAAAGAGAGCAUCCUCACUCUCCAAGCAGGGGAGGGACAGAGGGAGAGAGAGAAUCUUAACCAGGCUCCACGCCCAGUGGGGAGCCCUACUUGGAGCUCAAUCUCCCCACCACGAGAUCAUGACCCAAGCCAAAAUCAAGAGUCGGUUGGAGGCUCAACUGACUGGGCCACCCAGGUGCCCCUGCCCUUGCUAUUUUUGUGAUCAAAUAAGGGUUUUGUUUCUUACCAUUUGGAUUUGCUGACUAUAUCCCCAUUUUGUUCUUUACCAUGUUCCAUUCUCCCUCAUAUUUCUUGUGAAUUGAUAACUAGAUAUAGAGAUGUGGUUCUAUACACAUGAUGCAUAAUUGGUUUGGUAUUGAAUUUGGGGUUGAAAUUUAUUUUCCAUCAAAACUUUGAAGGAAUUACCCUACUGUCCUCAAAUGUCUAUUGUCACCGAACAGUAGUUUUAUAUCCAAACUUUCAUAUUACCUAUUUUUUCCCUUCUCUUAAAUCUUCUUUGAAUUCUCUUACCAAUAGAUGAAAAUGUAAUUCUCUCAUUGUAUACAGAAGUUUCAGUGAUGCCUCAGUAUUGAGGAUAUUUGGUAGACCAUUUUAAUUGGAAGAUACUAGUCUUCCUUCAUAGCUGGGAAAUCUUUAUUUUUUUUUUUUAAUGUUUAUUUAUUUUGAGAGAGAGAUAGAGAAAGAGAACGCAAACAGGGAAGGGGCAGAGAGAGGAGGAGGGAGAAACCUAAGCAGGCUCUGUGCCAUCAGCAGAGCCCGACUUGGAACUCAGUCUCAUGAACAGUGAGCUCAUGACCUGAGCCAAAAUCACGAGUUGGCUACUAAACUGACUGAGCCACCCAGGUACCCCUGGGAAUUGUUUUCCUAACAUUUCUUUCAAAACUUUUUUUCUUUCUAGUACUUACAUCGCUUAUGUGUUAGCUCUCCUGGAGUUCUUGGUUUACUGUCUUUUCUCAUAUUUUCUGUUUUUGGUUCUAAGCUAAAUCUUUGACUUUCAUCUCCUAGCACAUCUGACAUUUUAAUAUUGCCAACUAUAUUUUAAAAUUUCAGAGGCUUGGGGCUCCUGGGUGGCUUGGCUGGUUGAACGCCGACUUCAGCUCAGGUCAUGAUCUCGCAGUCUGUGAGUUGGAGCCCUGUGUCGGGUUCUGUGCUGAUAGCUCAGAGCCUGGAGCCUGCUUUGGAUCCUGUGUCUCCCCCUCUCUCUGUCUUUCCUGUCUCACUCAUUCUCUCUCUCUCUCUCUCAAAAAUAAACAUAAAAAAUGUUUUUUUAAUUUCAGAGGCUCAAACUAUGGAAAGAGCCCAAAUGUCCAUUUUUCCGAUGAAUGGAUGGGCUUUGCCUGUCAUUUAAUUCAUUAUUAUUCUGUUGAGACUCUAAAAAUACUACCUUUCUUCCCCGUUAGAAUGUUGGGGUGCCUGGGUGGCUCAGUCGGUUGACCGUCUGACUCUUGAUAUCAACUCUUGAUAUUGGCUCAGGUCAAGAUCUCAGGGUCUUGGGAUCGAGUCCCACCCAUGUCCCACCCACACUGAGCAUGGAGCCUGCUUGGGAGUCUCUGCCCCCCUACUCAAAAUAAAUAAGUAAACUUUUACAAAAAAAGAAUGCUGUUAAACUUUUCUCAAUUAGGUCACUGAAUAAAUAACACUUUAUAGUACUGGGAUUUGUGCCUUUGUGUCUAUUUGUGAAAUGGAGUUAUCAAACUGGGAAAUGCACAGUGACUCUGAUAAGUUUAUUCACCAUUGAAAAAGACCUUUCCAUACAAUUUUUUUUAAGGUUUAUUUAUUUUUGAGAGAGAGCGAGAGCAAGCACAAGCAUGGGAGGGUCAGAGAGAAGGGGACAGAGGAUCCAAAGUAGGUUCUGUGCUGACAGCAGCGAGCCUGAUGAGAGGCUCAAACUCCCGAACCACAGGAUCAUGACCUGAGGUGAAGCUGGGUGCUCAACCGACUGAGCCACCCAGGUGCCCCAUCCACUUUCGGAAGCUGGAAUUUGAAUUUUUUUUUUUUUUUUUGAUUCAUGUUUUACCUAGAACAAAUAGUGUUUGAAGGUAGAAUUUUUCUUUUAGGUGGUUAUACGUAUCAGAGACUAAUAAAUGAACAAUAAUUGCCUAUCUAUAAGCAGAGUUGUUUUUAUUUUUAUUUAUUUAUUAAAAAAAUUUUUUUAACGUUUAUUUAAAAAAAAAUUUUUUUUUAACGUUUAUUUUUGAGACAGAGAGAGACAGAGCAUGAACAGGGGAGGGGCAGAGAAAGAGGGAGACACAGAAUCUGAAACAGGCUCCAGGCUCUGAGCGGUCAGCAAAGAGCCCGACAUGGGGCUCGAACUCACGGACCGUGAGAUCAUGACCUGAGCCAAAGUCAGACACUUAACCAACCGAGCCACCCAGGUGCCCCAACGUUUAUUUAUUUUUGAGACAGAGAGAGACAGAGCAUGAAUGGGGGAGGGGCAGAGAGAGAGAGGGAGACACAGAAUCCGAAGCAGGCUCCAGGCUCUGAGCUGUCAGCACAGAGCCCGACGUGGGGCUCGAACUCAUGGACCGCGAGAUCAUGACCUGAGCCGAAGUCGGACGCUUAGCCGACUGAGCCACCCAGGCGCCCCCAGAGUUGUUUUUUAAACAAAAGAGUAUUCCAGUAGUGCAAAGCUAUAGUUAAUAGAUUAGAGUUUAUGGGAGUAGAUGGGUUUAGGAAUUGGUAUGGUUGGGGAUAGUAUAUCCAUAUAUGGUUUGAAGGAGUGCUGGGAGUAACCUGGUAUCCAAAGGUAAUGGAUAAUAGAGCAGAUUUUUUUUUGUGGUUGUUCUCGGGAUCACAAGAAAAUUGAUCAGCCCCCUCCUUUUGAAGAUGUAAACAUUGGUUGGAAGAACAAAUAUUGUUAAAAUGUCUGUACUACCCAAAGCAGUGUACAGAUUUGAUGCAGUCUCUAUUAAAAUACCAACAAUAUUUUUCACAGAACUAGAACACACAAUCCUAAAAUUUGUAUGGAACCACAAAAGACUUCUAAUAGGCAAAGCAGUCUUAAAAAAGAAUAACAAAACUGGAGGUAUCAUAAUUCCAGGCUUCAAGUUAUAUUACAAAGUGGUCAUACUUAAAACAGUAUGGUACUGGCAUAAAAAGAUAGACACAAAGAUCAGUGGAACAGAAUAGAAAACCCAGAAAUAAACCCACAGUUAUAUGGCCAAUUAAUCUGUGACAAAGGAGGAGUGAAUAUACAAUGGGAAAAAGACAAUCUGUUCAACAAAUGCUGUUGGGAAAAUUGGGCAGCUAACUAUGUGCAAAAGAAUGAAACUGGGCCACAUUCUUUCUCCAUACACAAAAAUAAACUCAAAAUGGAUUAGAGAUCUGAAUAUGAGACCAGAAACCAUAAAAAUCCUUGAAGAGAGCAUAGGCAGUAAUUUCUCUGUCAUCAGCUGUACAACAUGUUUCUAGAUAUGUCUCUUGAGGGAAGGGUAAUACAAGGCAAAAAUAAACUAUAGGGCUACAUCAAAAUAAAAAGCUUCUGUACAGUGAAGGAAAAAAUCAACAAAACCAAAAGGCAGCUUACUGAAUGGGAGAGGAUAUUUGCAAAUGACAUAUCUGAUAAAGGGUUAGGAUCUAAAAUAUAUAAAUAACUUAUACAGCUCAACACCCGAAAAACAGAUAAUGCACAUUAAAAAAUGAGCAGAAGAUCUGAGGAGACAUUUCUCCAAAGAAGGCAUAUAGAUGGUCAACAGACACAUGAAAAGAUGCUCAACAUCACUCAUCAUCAGGGAAAUGAAAAUUGGAACUACAAUGAGAUAACACCUCACACCUGUCAGAGUGGCUAAAAUCAAAAACUCAAGAAUCAACAAGUGUAGGUGAGGAUGUGGAGACAAAGGAAUUCUCUUGCACUGUUGGUGGGAAUGCAAACUGGUGCACCAACUCUGGAAAACGGUAUGGAAAUUUCUCAAACAAUUAAAAAUAGAAUUACACUAUGAUCUAGUAAUCUCACUACUGGGCAUUUUCCCAAAAAUACAAAAAAAAAAACUAAUUCAAAGGGAUAUGUGCACUCCUUUGUUUAUUGCAGCAUUAUUAUUGUUGUUAUUAUUUUAGAAAGAGAGAGAGUGGGGGAGAAGGGCAGAGGGAGAGAGAGAAUAUUAAGCAGGCUCCCUGCUCAGUGUGGAGCAUGAUAUGGGGCUUGAUUGCACAACCUUAGCUGAAAUCAGAGUUGGACGGACACUCAACUGACUGAGCCACUUAGAUGCACCACAGCAUCAUUUACAAUAACCAAACUGGAAGCAUCUCAAGUGUCCACUGAUAGAUGAAUGGAUAAAAAAGAUGUCACACACACACACACACACACACACACACACACACACACGAAUAUGAAUCAGCCAUAAAAAAGAACGAAACCUUGCCAUUUGCAGCAACAUGGAUAGAGCUAGAGAAUAUAAUGCUAAAUGAAAUAAGUCAGUCAGAGAAAGACAAAUACCAUACAUGAUCUCACUCAUAGGUGGAAUUUAAGGAACAAAACAAGCAAAAAAAAAAAAAAAGAGAGAGAGAAACCGACAAACAGACUCUUAACUAUAGAUAACAAACUGAUGGGUACCAUAGGAGAGGUGGGUAGGAGAAUGAGGGAAAUAUGUGAUGGAGAUUAAAGCAUACACUUAAUCGUAAUGAAAAACGUGGGGCACCUGGGUGGCUCAGUCAGUUAGACAUCAGACUGUUGAUUUUGGCUCAGGUCAUGAUCUCAUGGUCGUGAGAUUGAGCCGUAUGUCAGGUUCUGUGCUGAGCAUGGAGCCUGCUUGGGUCUCUCUCUCUCUCUCUCUCUCUCUCUCUCUCUCUCUCUCUCUCUCUGCCUUUCUCUUUCUCUCAAAAUACGCAUUUAAAAAAUCAUAACGAGGGAUGUCUGGGUGACUUAGUCAGUUAUGUGUCCAACUUCAUCUCAGGUCAUGAUUUCACGUUUGUGGGUUCAAGCCCCGCAUCAGGCUCUCUGCUGAUAGCUCAGAGCCUGGAGCCUGCUGCAGAUUCUGUGUCUCCCUCUCUCUGCCCCUCUCCUACUUAGUGCUCUGUCUCUGUCUUUCAAAAAUAAAUGUUAAUUUUUUUUAAAUAAUAAAAAAUAUAUUCAAAGUUUAAACAUUGAGGAGGGAUAUGUGAUAUAUUGACAUGGUUCAAAAUCAAAAUCUGGGAUACACAAUAAAGUAUCUCACUCCUAUACAGUCCCCUGGCCCAUCACUGUUUCUAGAAUCUUACAUAUGCUUCCAGAAACAAUUCAUGCAUAUAGAAGCAAAGAAGUGUGUAUGUUUGUGUCUGUAGUAAAUCAUGGAAUAAAUUGUGAUGCUAUUCUAUGUUGUGAGCAUGCUAUAAUGACUCCUGUAUGAGUCGUGUCUUUCCAUAGUGCAGCUUUAUUCAGUCACGGCAAGGUAAACACAAUUGUAAAGCAGGUUUAGGAUUCCAAACUCAGUGACAUUUCACUGUGUGUUCAACUUGCCUUAGUACAGGGCACACUGAGCAAAGCACAAUACGAAGUCAUACAGCAAGCAAGAUACAGUUAGGGAUAAGAAGUUAACGAACCAAAUGCAAAGUCAGUCUGUGAGUGUGUAGUUGAGAUCAGACCUCAGUCCCAUCCAGGUCAGCUCUUGGUGCUUACUGUGUAUUAUGUUCAUUCAACCAGUGGAGCAUCUCUGUUAGGGUCACAGAUCAGUCAGGCAUAGCCUUCGGGAGUUGCCUUUUUAAUGUGGUCAGAUCAUGGAAGGCUCAGCAUCUGGAGAGUCUGACAGCUUGCUGCGAAGUCCUUCCUUUUUAAAGAGUUUUAGUUGGGCACCUGGGUGGUUCAGUCCAUUAAGCCUCUGACUUCAGCUCAGGUCAUGAUUUCGCAGAUCAGGAGUUUGAGCCCCCACAUCUGGCUGAUAGCAGAGAGCCUGCUUGGGAUCCUCUGUCUCCCUCGGUGCCCCUCCUCCACUUGCUCUCUCUCUAAAAUAUAAUAAAUAAACAUUAGGAAAACACAGUUUAGUCAGUCUUGGGCCUUUGCAGGUUUCUUCUUGUUAUCAGCUCUUAGUUCUUCCAGACUCUCUUGGCUUUACUCUGGUUAUCAGUUUUGGAUGCCAUCAGCCUGUGGUGGUUUCAGUGAUAUCUGGUCUUAGCUGUAACACCCUUGGCUGCUUGUGUCACUGCUUGACAUAAGUCACUGUUUAUCUUGAGUGACUCCAUCUUGCUUUCUACAUUGUGCUUUUUUUUUUUCAGAGGGAGAGAGAGAGAGAGAGGCUUGCAACUGAGUGAGGGGCAGAGGGAUAGAGAGAGAGAGAGAAGUAGGGCUCACUUGAAACGGGUCUCAUGCUCACUGGAUUCGGGCCUCAAGCUUACCCGAAGCGGGGCUCUUGCCCCAAUGUUGGACUCGAACUCACAAACAGAGAGAUCAUGACCUGAGCUUAAGUCAGAUGCUUAACGACUAAGCCACCCAGGUGCCCUAUACAUUGUGCUUUUUAAAUGAAAUAUCUUGGGCAUAAUUCCGUAUCAGAUAAUAAGGAUCUGCUUCAUCUUUUCUAUAGUUGUUUCAUAUGUCUAAUUUAUUUAAUCCUAAUUAAUAGAUACUUGGUUCAUUUUAGCUUUUUGCUGUUAAAAUAAUACUGCAAAGAAUAAACUUUGGCAUAGGUCCCUUCACAUGUGCGUGAUUGGGUGAAGAUGUACAAAAUAAAUCAUAUCAAGUAAAAUAGAUGAAAAUCUCCUAAUUAUAUUUUCUGGAUUUUGUAUUCAUUCAUAUUUCUGUGUUGAUCAAAACAGGAAGAUUCAAGUAAAAGGAUUUGUAAUUUAUAAAUUUAGGUCUGUUGAGGCCUUUUUUGUCAUAUUCCCAGAAAACAAAAAUUUUUUGUGGGGACGACUGUGUGGCUCAGUUGGUUGAGUGUCCAACUUUUGAUGUCAGCUCAGGCCAUGAACCCAGGGUCACAGGUUUAAGCCCCGUGUUGGGUUCUGCACUGAGCCUGGAGCCUGCUUGGGAUUCUCUCUCCCCCUCUCGCUCUGUCCCUCUGUUGCUCAUUCUCUCUUUCAAAUUAAAAAAAAAAUCUUUUUUUCAGUGUUAAUUUAUUUUUGAGAGAUAAGGAGACACAGAAUAUGAAGCAGGCUCCAGGCUCUGAGUUGUCAGCACAGAGCCCGAGGCAGGGCUUGAAUUCAUGAACUGUGAAUCAUGACCUCAUCGGAAAUGUGAUGCUUAAUCAACUGAGCCUCCCAGGCUCCCCCCCCCCCCCCCCCGCAAAUUUUUUUAAGUAAGCUCUACACCUGAUGUGGGUUUGAACUCAUGAUCCCACAUGCUUUACUGACUAAGCCAGCCAGGCAACUUGAGAAAACAAUUAUUUUUAAAUGUUUAUUUGUUUUUGAGAUAGAGCAAACAGGGGAGGGGCAGAGAGAGAGGUUCACAGAGGAUCUGAAGCUGACUGCAGAGAGCCUUAAAUUUAGUGACUUAAAUUCACGAGCACCAACUGCGAGAACUUGACUUGAGUAGGAUGCUUAACUGAGCCACCCAGGCACCCCGAGAAAACAAUUUUUAAAAGACUUAGGUUUAUUGAAAAAUAGUAAUGCCAACUUUUAUUUUUAAUUUCUUUUUAUUUAUUUAUUUUUUUUUUUGAGAGAGAGGGUGCAAGUGAUGGAGGGGCAGGGGAAGAGAGGAGAGAGAAGUGGGUCUCGUUUUUUACCCGAAGCGGGCUCCAGCUUACUCUCUGUGGGACUUGAGCUCGCGAACUGUGAGAUCAUGACCUCAGCCGAAGUCAGAUGCUUAACAACUGAGCCACCCAAGUACCUGCUAACUUUUAAUUAUAUAAUGAAAUAGCACUCCACUUGAAUUAACAGACUCUUUUCAGUUUAGCUGUUAAUGUUAACUCAUUUGGAAUCUAAAAAAAUUUCUAAUAAGGAAGUUUUCUUCCUGUACAUUUUAUUAUGUCAGUAUUUUAAGAUGUUAGAUUUUUUGCAAUUUUAUUGCUAUUUGUAAACAAUUUGAAUUAGUGAAAAUGAUACUAUUGAAGAGUACAAGUAGUGUUGCUUAAGAAACUAACAUAAGGAAGUUAAUUAGUGUGAGUAAACUCAUAGGAUUGCUUAGUGGAAGGAUGUGAGAAAAAGAAUACAGUGAAGAGAAAAAUCGUAUUACAGUUUAACAUUCUUUUUAAUGUGUAUUUAUUGGGGAGGUGGGUGGAGAGGUGGAGGGGCAGAGAGAGAGGAAGACACGGAAUCCGAAGCAGGCUCCAGGCUCUGAGCUGUCAGCACAGAGCCCAAUGCCGGACCUGAGCGGAAGUCAGAAGCUUCACCGGCUAAGCACCCCCACAGUUUAACAUUUUAAAGCCCAUGUGUUUAGCACACUUUCUCUUGAAUGUUGUCUUUGUAUGGGAAAAUCUUUACUUUGAAAGGAUCAUUUUAUCCUCUGUGGGUUGAAGUGUUUCUUUCUCCGACCAGAGUCCCAGUGCAGAAAAGCAUAUAUUCUACGUGUUAUCCUGCAUGGUUGUGGAAGGGCCUUGGUAAUCAAAACAGUUUGUCAUCCUGUCCCAGGGAAGAGGAUCUUCCUAAUAACUACUGCCUUCUUUUGGACAUUCCACUUUGUCCUAGCUAUAAAAGGGAAAAGUGGCACCAAGAGAAGGAUUUUUUCACCCUUGAAUUCCUUUUUUGUAGUUUGUUUCAUAUUUGUUAUCAAAUCUCCAGAAUCAUGCCAAAGCUUUGUUGCUUUGGCAUUCUCUACGUACCACAGAAUAGAAUGAGUUUUUCAAAACACUAUGUGUCACUUUUCUUUGCAGAAUCAUCUUUGUUUUUGUUUUUGGCCUUUAGUUUUUAUUUCUUAACAUCUGUUAAAGAAGUAUUAGAAAAUGUAUCUUUAAAUAGAAGUAUUUGAAGGAUUCCAGAUUUCUUUCUCUGUUUUUGUCCUUUUUAUAGUCCAAAGAUCCAUAAAAUCAUAUUCUUUCACUUAUAUCACUUCUAUGACACAGUCCUUAUGUGUUUGUUAUUAAGGUAUAGUUAGCCCAUGGUUCAUCAGUUCUAUAAUGCAGACCAGUGAUUCUCAACAAGGGACAGUUUUGUCUCCUGGGGACCGUUCAUUAAAGUCUGGGAAGAUUUGGUUGUCUCAGCUACGUGUGGGGGAGCUACUGUUACCCAGUUGGCAGAGGCCAGUGAUGCUGCUAACACCGUACGUGCAUGGGACAGCCCCCCACAGCAAAGAAUUACCUGGCUUCACGUGUUAAUAAUGCCAAGGUCGAGGGACGCCUGCGUGGCUCGUUUGGUUAAGCAUCUGACUCUUUGCAGCUCAGGUCAUGGUCUCAUGGGUCUGGCUCCCUGCUUGGGGUUCUCUGCGCCUCCCCUGUGUGUGCAUGCUCGCUCUCUCUCUCUCUC